rnacentral:lncRNA from 1 species
UGAGGACUUCAAAUUACUAUGGCACUAUGACUUAGAGAGCAAAAGUUGCAAGAGAUUCUGGUAUGGAGGCUGCGGGGGCAACGAGAACAGAUUCCACUCACAGGAAGAAUGUGAAAAGAUGUGUAGUCCUGGUAAGUGGUCCCUCCCUCCCUUGGGUUUUUAAAGCUCUCUAUUAUGUGUAAGAGAAGAGAUGGGGUUAAUGCCCUCACCACUGAGAAAUGCCUGAGUUACAAUGAUUAUGGAAUACCUGAAGACACUUCAAUCACAUCCUCAGAUAAGAUGGGCCACUGGACCAUUAAAAAGAUAAGGUUUUUAACUUUACACACACAUGAAAAGAAACCACAGGAAACAGCAGUGAUUGGAAUGACCGAUUUGUUUCCUGAAAGCGUUAAGUGUAUCUAUGGCAGUUAGGAAACACACGGCCAAUCACAUCGGGAACAUUAGCACAUUCUUGUCACUUUAGAAGGGUCCCAGCACACACGAUUGUUAGAAUAGAAUAAUGAUCAACAAGAGAAGACUAAUGAUAAACACUUAUAUAGUCAUUUUUAAAUAGCUUUGCUUCCUGUGAAAAGUAAUGUUGACCUUGGGGCUGUCUAGUAGCUCCAUGGUAGUGAGCAAUUCAAUUAACAAUGAGUGGCACAAGGCCUGGGUAAUCAGGUUUCAGACAGCCCAAACCACAAGAAUCACAGGAACCAGUGAGGAAGGGGUACAGACUGGAGGCCGUGGGGUUGUGCUGUGGUAAUACAGUGUAUUAUAUGUCUACUGACCUCUCUUCUUUUCUUCUCCCUCUGUCUCUCGCUCCACUCUUCUUUCCUUCCCUCCACACUCAACGCUUUCUACACCCAGAGUUAUCAGUCUGACGAGAUCCUAAGCAAGGCCUUCGGGCAACACGUACCUCUGGGAGAAGGAGGAGGCAGCCAUUUCUCACUCGGUUUUUAUAGAAGCUCUGGGUAGAUGCCCCAGCACGGUGCCUUUUCAUGCUUUGAUUGACACU